rnacentral:ncRNA from 1 species
GUAAAUACAUUGACUGUUGAGGAGUACAUAUCAUUUUAUUUUUAGAGAGUUAAGGGUAGGUGAGACUUAACAAUAAAAGAUAUGGAAGGUAGCAACAAGAGUAGGAUUUCUGAAAUAGUAGUAGGUUAUCCCGGGAGAACCGUUAAAUAAAUAAGGUAUGUUAAACAUACAAAUUAAGGUGGUACCACGAACUUCUCGUCCUUUGG